rnacentral:rRNA from 1 species
UACGGAGGAUGCAAGCGUUAUCCGGAAUUAUUGGGCGUAAAGCGUCCGCAGGUGGUUGAACAAGUCUGCUGUCAAAGCGCGGAGCUUAACUCCGUACAGGCGGUGGAAACUGUUGAACUGGAGUACGGUAGGGGUAGCGGGAAUUCCCAGUGUAGCGGUGAAAUGCGUAGAUAUUGGGAAGAACACCAAUAGCGAAGGCAGCUCGCUGGGACGUUACUGACACUGAGAUGCGAAAGCGUGGGGAGCAAACAGG